UUUUAACAUCAAAUUCCUUAUGGGCCUUCUACAACAAGCCAUUAGUCAUAAAUCAGAAGUCAGAAGCUAAAAAUUGA